GUUGAACGCUGGCGGCAGGCCUAACACAUGCAAGUCGAGCGGAUGAAGGGAGCUUGCUCCUGGAUUCAGCGGCGGACGGGUGGGUAAUGCCUAGGAAUCUGCCUGGUAGUGGGGGAUAACGUCCGGAAACGGGCGCUAAUACCGCAUACGUCCUGAGGGAGAAAGUGGGGGAUCUUCGGACCUCACGCUAUCAGAUGAGCCUAGGUCGGAUUAGCUAGUUGGUGGGGUAAAGGCCUACCAAGGCGACGAUCCGUAACUGGUCUGAGAGGAUGAUCAGUCACACUGGAACUGAGACACGGUCCAGACUCCUACGGGAGGCAGCAGUGGGGAAUAUUGGACAAUGGGCGAAAGCCUGAUCCAGCCAUGCCGCGUGUGUGAAGAAGGUCUUCGGAUUGUAAAGCACUUUAAGUUGGGAGGAAGGGCAGUAAGUUAAUACCUUGCUGUUUUGACGUUACCAACAGAAUAAGCACCGGCUAACUUCGUG
rnacentral:rRNA from 1 species